rnacentral:rRNA from 1 species
UACGAAGGGGGCGAGCGUUGUUCGGAUUUACUGGGCGUAAAGGGCGCGCAGGCGGCUCAUUUUGUCAGGCGUGAAAGCCCCGGGCUUAACCUGGGAACUGCGUUUGAUACGGAUGGGCUAGAGUUCGGGAGAGGAGAGUGGAAUUCCCAGUGUAGAGGUGAAAUUCGUAGAUAUUGGGAAGAACACCGGUGGCGAAGGCGGCUCUCUGGACCGAGACUGACGCUGAGGCGCGAAAGCGUGGGGAGCAAACACG